AGUCCAGCCGCAGGGGCCACCCGAACAGUCUCUCCUCCUCACAGAAGCCUGGAGCUGGGCAUCCAAGAAGAAGCAGCCUCAUUUGUUUUCUGGUGUCAUCGUAGGUGGCCACCUAUGGCUUUUGGGCCUUCAUCUCCUCGUCCUCCAGGCAGCACAAGCCAUUGUGGAAUCUCCACCAGGUGUACAGAACGGUGCCUCUGCGUCCUGCCACUCAGGACCUCUCAAGUCCCCGAUGUGAUGGCUCCUCAGCAUGAUCAGGAACCAAAAAGAAGAAUGUACUUCAUCUGGUUGGGCUGGAUUCCCUCUGAUAAGCCUUCCCAGUUGACUGAAAGAUGAGGCUAGGCUCUAGCAAGUUGAAGUCAAACCAGCUCCUUCAAGAAGCUUUGAGCAGAAUGAAGUGGGGAGGACCCAGCUUCCAGCCCAGGAAGCCCACUGUACCUGGAGCCAUCUGGGAUAAGACUUUGACCCAUGACUCCCAUAUCCACAGCCUGUCCAUCCUAGCCCAUCCCAGUUUAUCCUGUAUCAUUUGAGCUGGGAUUCCCACAUCCUCUGAGUUGGAAGUCCCAUCUCAAGUCUUCAAUAAAGACUCUUGAAUAUUGAAUCACA
rnacentral:lncRNA from 1 species